rnacentral:rRNA from 1 species
GAUGAACGCUGGCGGCGUGCCUAAUACAUGCAAGUCGAGCGAACGGACGAGAAGCUUGCUUCUCUGAUGUUAGCGGCGGACGGGUGAGUAACACGUGGAUAACCUACCUAUAAGACUGGGAUAACUUCGGGAAACCGGAGCUAAUACCGGAUAAUAUUUUGAACCGCAUGGUUCAAAAGUGAAAGACGGUCUUGCUGUCACUUAUAGAUGGAUCCGCGCUGCAUUAGCUAGUUGGUAAGGUAACGGCUUACCAAGGCAACGAUGCAUAGCCGACCUGAGAGGGUGAUCGGCCACACUGGAACUGAGACACGGUCCAGACUCCUACGGGAGGCAGCAGUAGGGAAUCUUCCGCAAUGGGCGAAAGCCUGACGGAGCAACGCCGCGUGAGUGAUGAAGGUCUUCGGAUCGUAAAACUCUGUUAUUAGGGAAGAACAUAUGUGUAAGUAACUGUGCACAUCUUGACGGUACCUAAUCAGAAAGCCACGGCUAACUACGUGCCAGCAGCCGCGGUAAUACGUAGGUGGCAAGCGUUAUCCGGAAUUAUUGGGCGUAAAGCGCGCGUAGGCGGUUUUUUAAGUCUGAUGUGAAAGCCCACGGCUCAACCGUGGAGGGUCAUUGGAAACUGGAAAACUUGAGUGCAGAAGAGGAAAGUGGAAUUCCAUGUGUAGCGGUGAAAUGCGCAGAGAUAUGGAGGAACACCAGUGGCGAAGGCGACUUUCUGGUCUGUAACUGACGCUGAUGUGCGAAAGCGUGGGGAUCAAACAGGAUUAGAUACCCUGGUAGUCCACGCCGUAAACGAUGAGUGCUAAGUGUUAGGGGGUUUCCGCCCCUUAGUGCUGCAGCUAACGCAUUAAGCACUCCGCCUGGGGAGUACGACCGCAAGGUUGAAACUCAAAGGAAUUGACGGGGACCCGCACAAGCGGUGGAGCAUGUGGUUUAAUUCGAAGCAACGCGAAGAACCUUACCAAAUCUUGACAUCCUUUGACAACUCUAGAGAUAGAGCCUUCCCCUUCGGGGGGGGCAAGGUGACAGGUGGUGCAUGGUUGUCGUCAGCUCGUGUCGUGAGAUGUUGGGUUAAGUCCCGCAACGAGCGCAACCCUUAAGCUUAGUUGCCAUCAUUAAGUUGGGCACUCUAAGUUGACUGCCGGUGACAAACCGGAGGAAGGUGGGGAUGACGUCAAAUCAUCAUGCCCCUUAUGAUUUGGGCUACACACGUGCUACAAUGGACAAUACAAAGGGCAGCGAAACCGCGAGGUCAAGCAAAUCCCAUAAAGUUGUUCUCAGUUCGGAUUGUAGUCUGCAACUCGACUACAUGAAGCUGGAAUCGCUAGUAAUCGUAGAUCAGCAUGCUACGGUGAAUACGUUCCCGGGUCU